rnacentral:rRNA from 1 species
AUUCCAGCUCCAAUAGCGUAUAUUAAAGUUGUUGCAGUUAAAAAGCUCGUAGUUGAACUUCUUGGCAUCCUUUAAGCUGGCUUCGGUCGUUUCAAGGGUGUCAAUCCGCUAGGGAACUACAUUCGCACUUCACUGUGCGGUGUAGGGAACCGGCAUUUUACUUAGAAAAAAUUAGAGUGUUUAAGGCAGGCUAUCGCCCUGAAUACACAAGCUUGGAAUAAUGAAAUAGGACUAUUUCCAUUUUAUUGGUUAUUGGAUUUAGUAAUGAUUAAUAGGGACAGUUGGGGGCAUUUGUAUUUAAUAGUCAGAGGUGAAAUUCUUGGAUUUAUUAAAGACAAACUUAUGCGAAAGCAUUUGCCAAGGAUGUUUUCAUCG